AAGCAGAAGCUAUGUGGGGUACCACAACAGCAUUCUUCAUGUCUGCAAGGCCGGGUUUCAUGUAGGGCUCAUCCUCAAAGACAUCAAGGCCAACACGGAACAUGGGAUUUUCCCUCAGAUGCUCAACAAGAGCUACUUCAUCAAUAACAGGCCCCCUACUACAGUUCACAAGUAUUGCUUCCUUCUUCAUCAGUGCCAGCCGUUCUUUGUUCACAAGAUGGUACGUUGUUUUAUCAAGGAUUGGAUGUAGACUUAUCACAUCAGCCUCUUGGAGGACCUCCUCCAUGGAUGAAGCCCUUUUCCAUGUUACAGGUUGUUCACCAUUGGCUUUCAAAAACUGACCAUAGGCUGUCACAAAUUUUUCUAGACGAGUAGAUUGAUAUAGGUCGUAGUAUAUCAAGUUCAUUUUGAAGCCUUCAACCAUCAUUCUAGCAUAAGCAGAUCCAAUACGACCAGCCCCAAUUACGCCAACCGUUUGUCCUUUAAGUAAGUUCCCCACAAACAAAUGUGGAAGCCAUCCUUCAUAUUUUCCAGCUCUCAUGAACUCAUCUGCCUCCACAAUUCUUCUCGCUGCAGCUAAAGAAAGUGAAGCCGCUAACUCUGCUGUAGUCUCUGUCAGUACUCCAGGUGUAUUUCCAACAGCAACACCAUACUUGUUAGCAGCUUCGACGUCAACAUUGUUGUAUCCUACAGCCAUGUUACUAAAAGCUUUCCCACCAGCCUUGCUUAAUGCAGAGAACAGUGUGUCUCCCCAAUCUUCUGUCAACUGGCCAAUGACACCAUCGCACCUAUCUCCAAUAAGAGCAAGAAUGUCAUCAACUGAUAAAAUAGUUUUCUUCUCAGUGCAUAUUUCAAGACGACAAUCUUGUUGAAUGAGAAGAUUAAUCCAUCUAGUCCCAGGCAUAGAUUUUGUGCUGACAACUCUAUAUUUUCCAUUUGGAUUCCACACUUCAAUUUGCACUGGCUUUGCCAUUUCUUCCUCUCUCCUUACUUACUCUAAACUCUAAACUCUCUUGUUUAAAUCAAUAUCAUAUGGUUUCUGUCAUUUU
rnacentral:misc_RNA from 1 species